rnacentral:rRNA from 1 species
UAUCCCUACGGGAGGCAGCAGUGGGGAAUAUUGCACAAUGGGGGGAAACCUGAUGCAGCGACGCCGCGUGAGUGAAGAAGUAUUUCGGUAUGUAAAGCUCUAUCAGCAGGGAAGAAAAUGACGGUACCUGACUAAGAAGCCCCGGCUAACUACGUGCCAGCAGCCGCGGUAAUACGUAGGGGGCAAGCGUUAUCCGGAUUUACUGGGUGUAAAGGGAGCGUAGACGGUUAUGCAAGUCUGAAGUGAAAGCCCA